rnacentral:misc_RNA from 1 species
GAUGAAGAACGCAGUGAAAUGCGAUAAGUAAUGCGAAUUGCAGAAUUCCAGUGAGUCAUCGAAUCUUUGAACGCACAUUGCGCCCCUUGGUAUUCCAUGGGGCAUGCCUGUUCGAGCGUCAUUUGUACCUUCAAGCUCUGCUUGGUGUUGGGUGUUUGUCUCGCCUCUGCGUGUAGACUCGCCUCAAAAUAAUUGGCAGCCGGCGUAUUGAUUUCGGAGCGCAGUACAUCUCGCGCUUUGCACUCAUAACGACGACGUCCAAAAGUACAUUUUUACACUCUUGACCUCGGAUCAGGUAGGGAUACCCGCUGAACUUAAGCAUAUCAAUAAGCGGAGGA